UACGAAGGGUGCAAGCGUUAAUCGGAAUUACUGGGCGUAAAGCGCGCGUAGGUGGUUCAGUAAGUUGGAUGUGAAAUCCCCGGGCUCAACCUGGGAACUGCAUCCAAAACUGCUGAGCUAGAGUACGGUAGAGGGUGGUGGAAUUUCCUGUGUAGCGGUGAAAUGCGUAGAUAUAGGAAGGAACACCGGUGGCGAAGGCGACCACCUGGACUGAUACUGACACUGAGGUGCGAAAGCGUGGGGAGCAAACAGG
rnacentral:rRNA from 1 species